GUCCGGAACUUCAGCGCCCCGGUGAGUCCGCCCCUAGUGGCGAUACUGAGGGGCAGGAGGAUGGGGUGCUUGAGGACAGCUCGACGCCAGCGCCCCCUCAGGUGACAGGUGGAGUGGCAGAUGGCAGGUCAGGGACGGGCUUAACCCUCACAGGGAAUAGGUCCAGGACAGGUAGCGGUGACAGGGGCAGCAGCGUCUCCGAGCAGACGGGAAUUGCGAGGGGGGGUGAAUCCCUGCCCUCAGGAAGUUGCUGGGAUGAGAGGAGAGGAGACGGCAGGUCAGCG